GACGAACGCUGGCGGCGUGCCUAAUACAUGCAAGUCGAACGCAUUUUCUUUCACCGUAGCUUGCUACCCCGAAAGAAAAUGAGUGGCGAACGGGUGAGUAACACGUGGGUAACCUGCCCAUCAUCGGGGGUUAACACUUGGAAACAGGUGCUAAUACCGCAUAAUUCCAUUUACCGCAUGGUAGAUGGAUGAAAGGCGCUUUUGCGUCACUGUUGGAGGGACCCGCGGUGCGUUAGGUAGUUGGAGGGGUAGCGGGCUACCAAGGCUGCGAUGCAUAGCCGCACGGAGAGGGUGAUCGGCCACACUGGGACUGAGACACGGCCCAGACGCCUACGGAAGGCAGCAGUAGGGAAUCUUCGGCAAUGGAUACGAGUCUGACCGAGCAACGCCGAGGGAGUGAAGAACGUUGUCGGAUCGUAGAUGUCUGUUGUCAGAGAAGAACAAGGAUGAGAGUGGAAAGUUCAGCCCGUGACGGUAUCUAACCAGAAAGCCACGGCUAACUACGUG
rnacentral:rRNA from 1 species